rnacentral:rRNA from 1 species
CAGUAGCCGCGGUAAUACGAAGGGUGCAAGCGUUAAUCGGAAUUACUGGGCGUAAAGCGUGCGUAGGCGGUGAGUUAAGUCCGCUGUGAAAUCCCCGGGCUCAACCUGGGAAUGGCAGUGGAUACUGGCUCGCUAGAGUGUGUCAGAGGAUGGUGGAAUUCCCGGUGUAGCGGUGAAAUGCGCAGAGAUCGGGAGGAACAUCAGUGGCGAAGGCGGCCAUCUGGGACAACACUGACGCUGAGGCACGAAAGCGUGGGGAGCAAACAGGAUUAGAUACCCCAGUAGUCCCUGUCUCUUAUAC